CAAUAGGUUGUUUACUGACAAUAGGUUGUUUACUGACAGUUGUUUACUGACAAUAGGUUGUUUACUGACAGUUGUUUACUGACAAUAGGUUGUUUACUGACAGUUGUUUACUGACAAUAGGUUGUUUACUGACAAUAGGUUGUUUACUGACAAUAGGUUGUUUACUGAC